GCUUAACCGGAGAAGUGCAUCGGAAACUGGGAGACUUGAGUGCAGAAGAGGACAGUGGAACUCCAUGUGUAGCGGUGGAAUGCGUAGAUAUAUGGAAGAACACCAGUGGCGAAGGCGGCUGUCUAGUCUGUAACUGACGCUGAGGCUCGAAGGCAUGGGUAGCGAACAGGAUUAGAUACCCUGGUAGUCCAUGCCGUAAACGAUGAGUGCUAAGUGUUGGAGGGUUUCCGCCCUUCAGUGCUGCAGCUAACGCAUUAAGCACUCCGCCUGGGGAGUACGACCGCAAGGUUGAAACUCAAAGGAAUUGACGGGGGCCCGCACAAGCGGUGGAGCAUGUGGUUUAAUUCGAAGCUACGCGAAGAACCUUACCAGGUCUUGACAUCUUCUGCCAAUCUUAGAGAUAAGACGUUCCCUUCGGGGACAGAAUGACAGGUGGUGCAUGGUUGUCGUCAGCUCGUGUCGUGAGAUGUUGGGUUAAGUCCCGCAACGAGCGCAACCCUUAUUAUCAGUUGCCAGCAUUCAGUUGGGCACUCUGGUGAGACUGCCGGUGACAAACCGGAGGAAGGUGGGGAUGACGUCAAAUCAUCAUGCCCCUUAUGACCUGGGCUACACACGUGCUACAAUGGACGGUACAACG
rnacentral:rRNA from 1 species